rnacentral:rRNA from 1 species
UGGGGAAUAUUGCACAAUGGGCGCAAGCCUGAUGCAGCCAUGCCGCGUGUAUGAAGAAGGCUUUCGGGUUGUAAAUUACUUUCAGCGGGGAGGCAGGGAGUAAAGUUAAUACCUUUGCUCAUUGACGUUACCCGCAGAAGAAGCACCGGCUAACUCCGUGCCAGCAGCCGCGGUAAUACGGAGGGUGCAAGCGUUAAUCGGAAUUACUGGGCGUAAAGUGCACGCAGGCGGUCUGUCAAGUCGGAUGUGAAAUCCCCGGGCUCAACCUGGGAACUGCAUUCGAAACUGGCAGGCUAGAGUCUUGUAGAGGGGGAUAGAAUUCCAGGUGUAGCGGUGAAAUGCGUAGAGAUCUGGAGGAAUACCGGUGGCGAAGGCGGCCCCCUGGACGAAGACUGACGCUCAGGUGCGAGAGCGUGGGGAGCAAAAAGG